AACGAACGCUGGCAGCAUGCCUAACACAUGCAAGUCGAACGAAGCCUUCGGGCUUAGUGGCGCACGGGUGCGUAACACGUGGGAAUCUGCCCUUAGGUACGGAAUAACAGUUAGCAAUGACAGCUAAUACCGUAUGAUGACUCCUGUCCAAAGAUUUACCGCCUAAGGAUGCGUCCGCUACGGAUUAGGUAGUUGGUGAGGUAAAGGCUCACACAGGCGACGCUCCGGUUCUGGUCUGAGAGGAUGAUCAGCCACACUCGGACUGGGACACGGCCCAGACUCCGACGGGAGGCAGCAGUGGGGAAUAUUGGACGAUGGGCGAAAGCCUGAUCCAGCAAUGCCGCGUGAGUGAAGAAGGCCUUAGAGUUGUAAAGCUCUUUUACCCAGGAUGAUUAUGACAGUACCGGGAGAAUAAGCACCGGCUAACUCCGUGCCAGCCGCCGCCGUAA
rnacentral:rRNA from 1 species